GACCUGGACAAAAAGGAACCAAAACCUCCUUCAGUUAUAAGGRAACUUGAAUUGAGAAGUGUUUUAGAAAUCAACAGGAUAUAAAAAUGAGUCUCUCAACCAACAAGUGAAGAUGUUUGGACAUGAGGAGGGUAUUUUCUACGAGCUUUAGGCUGUCACAAAGCUGGGCAUUCACAUUGUAGUAUCAUGUCACGUGACACUAGCAAGCAGAAAUCUUGCUUCCAAGUGAUUUGCCAAAAAUGGGAAUUCCUGAAACUAGAAAGCUUGAGGCUUGUUGACAUGAAGUGCAUUCAACACGAGUUGGAGUCACGUAUCUUCCAGCUUUCUUGACCUGGGCAGAGGCCAGGGACUGCCUCUAGGCCUGAACUUAUAGGAACAUUUUUUGAGGCACAGUCUUUCUAGACUUAUUUUCUGAGCUGAGAUAUAUGGAGUUGCUCUUCUCCAACUUCUGCAGUCUAGUAUUCUCCAGAAGAAGCUCUUUUAUCUUGACUGCCAGAAGUGGGGUGACCUAUGAUAGAAGAGAAUGACUUGUUAUGUCCCUCUUCU